UAGGGAAUCUUCCGCAAUGGACGCAAGUCUGACGGAGCAACGCCGCGUGAGUGAAGAAGGAUUUCGGUUCGUAAAACUCUGUUGUUAGAGAAGAACAGCGCAUAGAGUAACUGUUAUGCGUGUGACGGUAUCUAACCAGAAAGCCACGGCUAACUACGUGCCAGCAGCCGCGGUAAUACGUAGGUGGCAAGCGUUGUCCGGAUUUAUUGGGCGUAAAGCGAGCGCAGGCGGUCAAUUAAGUCUGAUGUGAAAGCCCCCGGCUCAACCGGGGAGGGGCAUUGGAAACUGGUUGACUUGAGUGCAGAAGAGGAGAGUGGAAUUCCAUGUGUAGCGGUGAAAUGCGUAGAUAUAUGGAGGAACACCAGUGGCGAAGGCGACUCUCUGGUCUGUAACUGACGCUGAGGCUCGAAAGCGUGGGUAGCAAACAGG
rnacentral:rRNA from 1 species